UUGCUAAGUUUUUGACCUUGUAAAAAUAAAUCUUUGAAUUACAAAUAUGAUCCUGCCGAGCUCUUGUCUGCACUUUGGUCCGAUCCAAAACCACACCGUGACAGUCAGUCCAUCAAUGUUUGUUAAAUACCAGAAAUGGGAGGAACAAAUCGAUGACUUACUUGGGGAAAUGUGGGCCCCACUGUGGACUUUAGUGCUGUUUUGAGAGAGAACUAAAAACUUUUAAUAAUACUAAGAACACACAUUCAUAGCUUUGUGGAUUUGCCGGAAAAAAAGAAGAAUUCAGUAUUUAUACACAAGUUUCACUAAAUGUAAUAGAUCAGAUCAGAUACAAUGAUUAGUACAGUGAUUGCUUCAUUUGUGACUUCAGUUUUAUAACUUCGUCAUCUUUCCUUAACACCACCUUUAUUUGGACAAUACAAGCUGAGGAGGCCAUGCUCAUCAAGAUAAGAGGAACUAUGGGACAAUCUGUCAUUGCCUGAUUGUCAUCCACAGCUCUCCAUUUAAGAUUAAUGCAUUCAGGAAACUUACUUCAUGUUUCUGCUGUUUCCUUGUAUUCAUUCUCCUCGUCUUCCUCUUAUCAGGGAACAAUUUGCGGGGGCUGCAGUCUCAGCAGAGACACCCAGACUACUCUCUCCCCAGACACCUCCUCCAGUUCCUCUGGGGGCAGCCAGAGGGGUUUCCAGGUCAGUCGAGAGACAUAGUGCCUGCAGCCUGUCCUUGGCCGUCCCCUGGGCCUCCUCCUGUUGGGAUGUGGCAGGAACACCACCCGAGGUGGGAGGUCGUUCUUCACAAUCACAGCCCAGGUGCUGCUGUCAUUUGUCACAUGGGCAUUGAAGACCCCAAGUAGAAUGACAGAGACCAAGAAGGCAGAGUACUCCACACCGCUGCUCAGCCCAUAGGUCGAAACAACAGUCAGAGACCUUCCCUGACCUUAAGGCACAGGGAUGAGACCCUCUCAUCCACCAAGGUAAACCUCAAAACGAGGCGACUAAGCUGGGGGGAAGACAAGAAACCCACCCUACCCCACCACCUCUCCCCACAGGCCACUCCAGAGUAAGAGAGUCCAACCUCUCUCAAGGAGCUGGUUUCCAGACCCCACAGUUCGUGGAGGUGAGCCCAAUUUCAACCUCCAUCCGAUCCGCUCUCCUGCACGAUCCUCUUUGCCUCAUGGUUCCCCCUGCAGGUGGAUGACCACUGAGGGAUGGCCUCGUGUCCUUUGUUUGGGCCUGGCCCGCCUGGGUCCAGCAAUGAGCCUCCCUGCCACCAGGCUGUACCGAGUGUUGUCACUUGCCUCAAUUUACUGGUCCACAUGAAGACUCCUAAACCGCUUCUUGUCUUACCCGUCACCUAGAGCCUGUUUGCCAGGGGAGACCCUACCAGGGGCGUUUAAGCCAUGGGCAACAUACCCUCUGAGAUCAAUCGAGCACUCAAACCUCUCCACCACGUUAAGACGGCAGUUCUCCUGUUUCCAAAGAACCAAAAGAGCCUUGAGGAUCUUGAAUCUUGUUCUCCUCUGUCUGCUGUUUAUAUCAGCCACAUCCUCAAUGAAAACCAGUGAAUCGUCCUUCAAUAAUUCUUUAAAAUGAUUGAAAGGAACAUUUAAUUUAACUAGGUACUACUUUUAAAAUCAUAUUAGAAGUCUCAUGGAGAAGGAGAAAAAGAAGAAUCUCUGCACUAUAUUAAAGCAGAUUCUUACAGAGAAAACGUACACAUAAAGAAACAAAAUUAUGUAAAGCUAUAAAUAAUAAAAGCUAAAACGGUUGAGAUGACAUGUUAGCAAGCAUGGUGGUGGAAGCAUGAUGACGACCUGGAAUCUUACAGUCAUUUAUUGGACCAUGAACUCCUCCGUAUAUCAAAGUAUUCCAGCGUUCAAUGGAGUUCCUUCUGUUCAGCUGCUGAAACUUGGUUCAAACUGGAUCAUCAACAGGACGAAUAACCCAAACACAUCAGCUAAUCUACAACAGAAUAAAGGUGUUGCAUGUCCCAGUUAAAGUUCAAACUUCCACCUGAUUAAACUGCUGUGGUAGGACCUUCAGAGAGCUGUGCAAUGAACCGAAGCAAUAAUGGAAAGAACAUUGAACCAAAUCUUAUGACAUUGUUUUUGAAAUCCAGCCUGCAGAAUGAAAACCAUAAAAAUAGCAAAGGAUGUAUUUUCGUGCUACCGUCACUGCGUAUCCUGGGGCGAAGGUGGUGACAGUGAUAAUAUGUUCGUUCUGUAACUUGUGGGUAACACAACCUGUGGGUUGCUGGUUCAAACCCCUGCUCUACCUGUCUUGGUCAUUGUGUCCAAGAGCUAGAAAUUCCACCCUCCUUGCCUGGUGAUGGUGGUCAGAUGGCCCAGUGGUGCCAACUGUAUGGCAAGCUCACCACUGUCAGUGGCGGGGUUCCGGGAGUUUCUUUCUGUUUUACCUGCUACUAACCCCAUCCAACCUCUAGAUGACACCAGAUGCACGGUAGGAACGGAGUCCACAGGUGUUCUCCAUCAGCCUCAUCAGGAGAGGAGCUUAACUACCCAACGAUGCCAACACUCCGGCGCCUGAGUGUUAACCUGCAGUGGUUACCUCCAGUUCCGAGCUUCUUAUCCAGUCUGCGUAUGCAGAAGAUCCAGACUCUCUCUCCGCAAGAGAACUUCCCGGAUUAUCUUCUCAGUUGGCUGCAUUCGGGUUUCAAGUCUCCUCAGGCUUCCUGUGAAUGAACCUGGCUCACCCUCCACCGUGCUCCCCUCCAAGAUCAUGCACCUGGUGCCACCUCCACCUCAAGUCCAAGUAAAACAGUAUUACCUGGACCUUUCACUUACCCGACAUGCUCCCGGAGUUUUCCAUCAUCUCACUUCUCCUCCCCCCUGGCGGAUCUCCUAAUCACUUCCUCGGUGAGUUCCUGUUUCUCCAGCAAACAAAAUAUUUCUUAAUAAACUUGUUAAAAC